rnacentral:rRNA from 1 species
UACGUAGGGUGCAAGCGUUGUCCGGAAUUAUUGGGCGUAAAGAGCUCGUAGGCGGUUUGUCGCGUCUGCCGUGAAAGUCCGGGGCUCAACUCCGGAUCUGCGGUGGGUACGGGCAGACUAGAGUGAUGUAGGGGAGACUGGAAUUCCUGGUGUAGCGGUGAAAUGCGUAGAUAUCUGGAGGAACACCGGUGGCGAAGGCGGCGUUCUGGACUGCAACUGACACUGAUGAACGAAAGCCAGGGGAGCAAACGGG